CGCGGGGUGGAGCAGCACGGUAGCUCGUCGGGCUCAUAACCCGAAGGUCACAGGUUCAAAUCCUGUCCCCGCAACCA
rnacentral:tRNA from 4 species